CCCUUAGAUGUUCUGGGCCGCACGCGCGCUACACUGAUGUAUUCAACGAGCCUAUCCUUGACCGACAGGUCCGGGUAAUCUUUGAAUCUGCAUCGUGACGGGGAUAGAUUAUUGCAAUUAUUAAUCUUCAACGAGGAAUACCUAGUAGGCGCAAGUCAUCAGCUUGCGUCGAUUACGUCCCUGCCCUUUGUACACACCGCCCGUCGCUCCUACCGAUUGGGUGUGCUGGUGAAAUGUUCGGAUCGGCCGUUUGUCGCGGUUUCCGCGUCAUGUGGCUGAGAAGUUCAUUAAACCCUCCCACCUAGAGGAAGGAGAAGUCGUAACA
rnacentral:rRNA from 1 species